UUUAUCACAAACAUAAACAAAUGUUACUUCUGCUGGAAUUACAAGGUUUCUUUCUUGUUUACAGUUGAGGCAUGAAGAGAGAAUCACUCAGCUUUAGUGCUAUGGUCCUCUUGUCCCCUGCUCGUGAGGCAUCCCACAAUGUGAAUUUUACUAAGGUGUGGCAGAGACCAGUUCAUUAUAUGGAACGGAUCAUCAGUUUCCUUUGCUAUCUAAAACUGGUGGCGUAAAAAAGCAAAACACCUCUCGUAAGUGAAUGACAGCUUAUAACAGGGAUACAGGAGUGAGUAUUUAGUCACAUCCUUUGCUGCAGAUAGAAGUGACAAAUCUUGGGAAAUUGGCUACUACUACUUACAACUCUGCAGUAUCCAAGCAGUUUCAGGUAAUUUCGGUUUCUUUCUGUGUGAGGUUUUGUUUUUGUUUUGUUUUUUGGGAGAGGGGA
rnacentral:lncRNA from 1 species